rnacentral:rRNA from 1 species
CCUACGGGCUGCAGCAGUCGAGAAUUUUUCACAAUGGGCGCAAGCCUGAUGGAGCGACGCCGCGUGGGGGAUGAAGGGUUUCGAUCCGUAAACCCCUGUCAUUUGCGAACAAACCUUAUUCAAUAACACUGGAUGAGCUGAUUGUAGCGGAAGAGGAAGGGACGGCUAACUCUGUGCCAGCAGCCGCGGUAAUACAGAGGUCCCAAGCGUUGUUCGGAUUCACUGGGCGUAAAGGGUGCGUAGGUGGCCAGGUAAGUUUGGUGUGAAAGCUCGGAGCUCAACUCCGAAAUGGCAUUGAAUACUAUCUGGCUGGAGGGCCGGAGGGGAGACUGGAAUUCUCGGUGUAGCAGUGGAGUGCGUAGAUAUCGAGAGGAACACCAGUGGCGAAGGCGAGUCUCUGGACGACAUCUGACACUGAGGCACGAAAGCUAGGGGAGCAAACAGGAUUAGAUACCCUAGUAGUC